GUGCUGGCUUCGCAGCACAUAUACUAAAAUGGAAUAAUUCAGAGUCUAGCAAGGUCCCUGCACAAGGAUGACACACAAAUUCAUGAAGUGUUCUGGCUUUUU